AGUGAACGCUGGCGGUAGGCCUAACACAUGCAAGUCGAACGGCAGCACAGUAAGAGCUUGCUCUUACGGGUGGCGAGUGGCGGACGGGUGAGGAAUACAUCGGAAUCUACUUUUUCGUGGGGGAUAACGUAGGGAAACUUACGCUAAUACCGCAUACGACCUACGGGUGAAAGCAGGGGAUCUUCGGACCUUGCGCGAUUGAAUGAGCCGAUGUCGGAUUAGCUAGUUGGCGGGGUAAAGGCCCACCAAGGCGACGAUCCGUAGCUGGUCUGAGAGGAUGAUCAGCCACACUGGAACUGAGACACGGUCCAGGCUCCUACGGGAGGCAGCAGUGGGGAAUAUUGGACAAUGGGCGCAAGCCUGAUCCAGCCAUACCGCGUGAGUGAAGAAGGCCUUCGGGUUGUAAAGCCCUGUUGUUGGGAAAGAAAAGCAGCAGGUUAAUACCCCGCUGUUCUGACGGUACCCAAAGAAUAAGCACCGGCUAACUUCGUG
rnacentral:rRNA from 1 species